AGUAAUGGCCGGGAUAGCUCAGUUGGUAGAGC
rnacentral:tRNA from 1 species